CUUACGGGGGGCAGCAGUGGGGAAUAUUGCACAAUGGGGGAAACCCUGAUGCAGCGACGCCUCGUGAGUGAAGAAGUAAUUCGUUAUGUAAAGCUCUAUCAGCAGGGAAGAAACAGACGGUACCUGAGUAAGAAGCCCCGGCUAACUAUGUGCCAGCAGCCGCGGUAAUACAUAGGGAGCGAGCGUUAUCCGGAUUUAUUGGGUGUAAAGGGUGCGUAGACGGGAAAUUAAGUUAGUUGUGAAAUCCCUCGGCUUAACUGAGGAACUGCAACUAAAACUGAUUUUCUUGAGUACUGGAGAGGAAA
rnacentral:rRNA from 1 species